UACGGAGGGUGCGAGCGUUGUCCGGAAUCACUGGGCGUAAAGGGCGCGUAGGCGGCUGUGUAAGUCACUUGUGAAAUCCCGGGGCUCAACUCCGGGGCUGCAGGUGAGACUGCAUGGCUAGAGCACGGUAGAGGCAAGUGGAAUUCCCCGGGUGUAGCGGUGGAAUGCGUAGAUAUCGGGAAGAACACCGGUGGCGAAGGCGGCUUGCUGGGGCCGUUGCUGACGCUGGAUGCGCGAAAAGCGUGGGGGAGCAAACAGGG
rnacentral:rRNA from 1 species